rnacentral:lncRNA from 1 species
GCGCACACACACAGACACAGACACACACACACACACACACACACACACACACACACACACACACACACACACACACACACACACACACACACACACACACACACACACCAUCCCCUGUAGCGUGGAACUGACAGGCUGAGCCUUGGAUGUUGGAUGGCUGUGAGAUUCUGACUGUGGUGAUGUUCAACUGAGCCCUCACCUAAUGAGCCCGGAGUGUGUGUGUGAUCGUCAGUGUGUGUGUUCGUCAGUGUGUGUGUUCGUCAGUGUGUAUGUGUGUGUGUGUGUGUUUUCGUCAGUGUGUGUUAGUGUGUUUGUCAGUGUGUGUGUGUUCGUCAGUGUGUGUGUGUGUUCGUCAGUGUGUGUGUGUGUGUGUGUGUCAGUGUGUGUGUGUGUCAGUGUGUUCAUCAAUGUGUGUGUGUGUGUUCGUCAGGGUGUGUGUGUGUGUGGUAGUCUGUUUGUGUGCGUGUGUGUGUUCGUCAGUGUGUGUGUGUCUGUGUGUGUGUGUGUUCGUCAGUGUGUGUGUGUUCGUCAGUGUGUGUGUGUGUGUGUGUGUUCGUCAGUGUGUGUGUGUGUGUGUGUGUUCAUGUUCGUCAGUGUGUGUUUGUGUGUGUGUCAGUGUGUGUGUGUGUGUGUCAGUGUGUUCGUCAGUGUGUGUGUGUGUGUGUGUGUGUGUGUGUGUGUGUGUGUUCGUCAGUGUGUGUGUGUGUGGGUGUGUGUGUGUGUUCGUCAGUGUGUGUGUGUUUGUCAGUGUGUGUGUGUGUUCGUCAGUGUGUUCGUCAGUGUGUGUGUGUGUGUCAGUGUGUGUGUGUGUGUGUCAGUGUGUUCGUCAGUGUGUGUGUGUGUGUGUGUGUUCGUCAGUGUGUGUGUUUGUGUUCGUCAGUGUGUGUGUGUUCGUCAGUGUGUGUGUGUAUGUUCGUCAGUGUGUGUGUGUGUUUGUUCGUCAGUGUGUGUGUGUGUGUGUGUGUUCGUCAGUGUGUGUGUGUGUGUGUGUGUGUCAGUGUGUUCGUCAGUGUGUGUGUAUGUGUGUGUGUGUGUGUGUGUGUGUGUGUAUGUGUGGUCGUCAGUGUGUCAGCUGUGUGUCACCUGGUUCGUCAGCAGCCUCCAA